rnacentral:rRNA from 1 species
CGUUAGCGGCGGACGGGUGAGUAACACGUGGGUAACCUAUCUAUAAGACUGGGAUAACUUCGGGAAACCGGAGCUAAUACCGGAUAAUAUUCGAACCGCAUGGUUCGAUAGUGAAAGAUGGUUUUGCUAUCACUUAUAGAUGGACCUGCGCCGUAUUAGCUAGUUGGUAAGGUAACGGCUUACCAAGGCGACGAUACGUAGCCGACCUGAGAGGGUGAUCGGCCACACUGGAACUGAGACACGGUCCAGACUCCUACGGGAGGCAGCAGCU